CACACUGAAUUACUGUUAUUGUGGCCUCUCUUAUGUCCAUCAGGGCUCUGGGAUAAGACACCAUCUCUUUACACACACACACACACAC